rnacentral:piRNA from 1 species
UGAUUAUAAGGAUGCCCAGUGCUCU